CAUACGAACUUCCACAUAUGUAAAACACAAGAUGAAGAGAGAGCCAGCUAGAAAGAGGGCCUUGAUCUAAUGGUGAUCAAAACUGAACUCCUCUCUACAAAGCCAGAACCUCUCAUAAUUUAUACAGAAGGAUACAAAAUGGAUAUGAGGGUAGGUUACAUUGUGUCAAAGGGACAAAGACAAGUUCCCUCUCACAGUCAUUUAGCUAACACAUGUAAUCUGUUCUGGGAAAGGGGGUUUUGGUUAUUGGGAGAAAGACAGGAAGUCUUUUGUUUUGGAGGUUUGGGGGCUCUUAUCGAGUGUAUACAAUUUGGGGUUUAUUUGGCUAGAAUUAAACAAAUGUCUUGGAAGGAGGUCUGGUAUUUCGCAGGGUGGGUCUUAUCUGUAUAGGGGCAUAUACUGAGUGAUAUUACAUAUUAUUACCAAGGGGUGUAGACUUGUACUACCAUUACAUAGCAAUAUAAAGGAAUUGGUGUGCACCUAAACUUGGACUACAAUUUAAAAAGGAUACAUCAUUCUGGAUAAUCACCAUUCGUUCAUCAUUUUUUUCCUGGGCCUUGAUAACUGCAUAAAUAAGCUUCACCUGAGGAAUGGAAAAACUGUUGUCCAAGGAGACUGGGUGGCUGUGUUUUAUUCAGGCAGCAGAUUCCCCCCAUUGGACAAGUUUCGCACCUGGACAAUGUAAAUGGUAUUGCCUCUGUCCGAUUUCUGAAAGGGCGGAUCAGGCUUUCCAAGACAGAUGUUCAGGACGUGGAGGCCGAUCAGUUUAUCAUUUGCACCCUUCGUGUACAGUACGUGCAUGAAAAGGAUGAAUUUUUUACACACCCUCUUAUGAAGGACAAAGUAGAAAUUGCUAAACAAAUGUAUAGUGAAUUUCAUAUGUGACUCCCUUUCCUCAAACCCACAUAAAGUGGCCAGAUAUAUGUGCUAUGAGCCAAAAUGUGUGAAUUAUAGUAGGCUUUUUGCAUUUUGAGGUACGAUGAUUACUAAGGACACAUAUUCCUUGGAUCAAAA